rnacentral:tRNA from 2 species
CAUUGAGAAGCUAAGUAGCAUUAACCUUUUAAGUUAAAAAUUGAGAGCAUGAAUCUCUCCUCAAUGA